GACGAACGCUGGCGGCAGGCCUAACACAUGCAAGUCGAACGCUCCGCAAGGGGAGUGGCGCACGGGUGAGUAACACGUGGGAACCUACCUUCUGGUACGGAACAACCAAGGGAAACUUUGGCUAAAACCAUAUACGACCUCCGGGUGAAAGAUUGAUCGCCGGAAGAGGGGCCCGCGUCCGAUUAGGUAGUUGGUGAGGUAACGGCUCACCAAGCCUACGAUCGGUAGCUGGUCUGAGAGGAUGACCAGCCACACUGGGACUGAGACACGGCCCAGACUCCUACGGGAGGCAGCAGUGGGGAAUAUUGGACAAUGGGCGCAAGCCUGAUCCAGCCAUGCCGCGUGAGUGAUGAAGGCCU
rnacentral:rRNA from 1 species